rnacentral:rRNA from 1 species
AUUGAACGCUGGCGGCAGGCCUAACACAUGCAAGUCGAGCGGAUGAAGGGAGCUUGCUCCUGGAUUCAGCGGCGGACGGGUGAGUAAUGCCUAGGAAUCUGCCUGGUAGUGGGGGAUAACAUCCGGAAACGGGCGCUAAUACCGCAUACGUCCUGUGGGAGAAAGUGGGGGAUCUUCGGACCUCACGCUAUCAGAUGAGCCUAGGUCGGAUUAGCUAGUUGGUGGGGUAAAGGCCUACCAAGGCGACGAUCCGUAACUGGUCUGAGAGGAUGAUCAGUCACACUGGAACUGAGACACGGUCCAGACUCCUACGGGAGGCAGCAGUGGGGAAUAUUGGACAAUGGGCGAAAGCCUGAUCCAGCCAUGCCGCGUGUGUGAAGAAGGUCUUCGGAUUGUAAAGCACUUUAAGUUGGGAGGAAGGGCAGUAAGUUAAUACCUUGCUGUUUUGACGUUACCAACAGAAUAAGCACCGGCUAACUUCGUG